CCUAGAUUGGUUCAAGCUCUUGUGUAUGUCCAAGAUUGGCUUCGUAAUGAAUCAACAACUCUGGUUAAAAUUGAGGAAGAUUUAGAUAAUCUUGAACAACUUGAACUUUAAAUGGUCAAUACUGGAAAAGAGCCUUGCAUCGUUGACAUAUAGUAUUGAUGAAGAUUAUUGAACUAUAUUUUGCUGAAACAAAGGGGAGUAGUGGAUCUGGAAUUGGGAGGGAAAUGGAAGUUGAAACUCUUUAAUAUUUUUUUGCCUUCUUGAGUUCAUCCUUUAAA